rnacentral:rRNA from 1 species
GACGAACGCUGGCGGCGUGCUUAACACAUGCAAGUCGAACGGUGAAAGCGGAGCUUGCUCCGCUGGAUCAGUGGCGAACGGGUGAGUAACACGUGGGCAACCUGCCCCUCACUUCGGGAUAACUCCGGGAAACCGGGGCUAAUACCGGAUAUGACCUCCUUGGGCAUCCUUGGAGGUGGAAAGUUUUUCGGUGAGGGAUGGGCCCGCGGCCUAUAAGCUUGUUGGUGAGGUAGUGGCUCACCAAGGCGACGACGGGUAGCCGGCCUGAGAGGGCGACCGGCCACACUGGGACGGAGACACGGCCCAGACUCCUACGGGAGGCAGCAGUGGGGAAUAUUGCGCAAUGGGCGAAAGCCUGACGCAGCAACGCCGCGUGCGGGAUGACGGCCUUCGGGUUGUAAACCGCUUUCAGCAGGGAAGAAGCCGCAAGGUGACGGUACCUGCAGAAGAAGCACCGGCUAACUACGUGCCAGCAGCCGCGGUAA